CCGGGCAGGUGGGGCUCGUUAGCCGUGGUAGGCAAUCUGCCUAGGAGAGCAAACUCCGAACAACAAACCCGGGCAGGUGAGGUUCGUUAGCCGUGGUAGGCAAUUCACCUAGGAGAGCAAACUCCGAACAAUAAACCCGGGCAGGUUGGGCUCGUGAGCCGUCAUAGGUAAUACACCUAGGAGAGCAAACUCCGAACAAUAAACCCGGGCAGGUGAAGGUCGUUAGCGAAAGCAGUUCAUCUAGGAGAGCAAACUCCGAUUACAAAACCGGGCAGGUGGAGGUCGUUAGCGUGAGCAGUUCACCUAGGAGAGCAAACUCCGAUUACAAACCCGGGCAGGUGGAGGUCGUUAGCGAAAGCAAUUCAUCUAGGAGAGCAAACUCCGAUUACAAACCCGGGCAGGUGGAGGUCGUUAGCGAAAGCAGUUCACCUAGGAGAGCAAACUCCGAUUACAAACCCGGGCAGGUGAGGUUCGUUAGCCGUGGUAGGCAAUUCACCUAGGAGAGCAAACUCCGAACAAUAAACCCGGGCAGGUUGGGCUCGUGAGCCGUCAUAGGUAAUACACCUAGGAGAGCAAACUCCGAACAAUAAACCCGGGCAGGUUGGGCUCGUGAGCCGUCAUAGGUAAUACACCUAGGAGAGCAAACUCCGAACAAUAAACCCGGGCAGGUGGAGCUCGUCAGCCGUGGUGGGCAAUCUGCCUAGGAGAGCAAACUCCGAACAAUAAACCCGGGCAGGUGGAGCUCGUCAGCCGUGGUAGGCAGUCUGCCUAGGAGAGCAAACUCCGAACAAUAAACCCGGGCAGGUGGAGCUCGUCAGCCGUGGUAGGCAGUCUGCCUAGGAGAGCAAACUCCGAACAAUAAACCUGGGCAGGUGGAGCUCGUCAGCCGUGGUAGGCAGUCUACCUAGGAGAGCAAACUCCGAACAAUAAACCGGGGCUUGUGGUGCUCGUUAGAUGUCGUAGACAAUCCACGUGAUGGGAACACCAAAGAAAAGGAAAAUAAAAAGGAACACCAGAAAAAGAAAAAUAUAGUAACAAAACAUCAAGAAAAUAAAAUAAAAAACACAGAU